GACAGAGGUGCCAAGCGUUAGGCGGAAUCACUGGGCUUAAAGCGUGUGUAGGCGGGUCGUUAAGUGUCUUGUGAAAUCCCCCGGCUCAACCGGGGAAUGGCUGGGCAUACUGGCGAUCUUGAGCAGUUCAGGGGCAGAUGGAACAAGUGGUGGGGCGGUGAAAUGCGUAGAUAUCACUUGGAACGCCAAAGGUGAAAACAGUCUGCUGGGAACUUGCUGACGCUGAGACACGAAAGCCAGGGGAGCGAACGGG
rnacentral:rRNA from 1 species